rnacentral:tRNA from 1 species
GCCCUGGUGGCCCAGUGGUUAAAGGCGCUUGGCCGCUAACCAAAAGGUCUGUGGUUCAAACCCAGCAGCUGCU